rnacentral:rRNA from 1 species
CCUACGGGACGCAGCAGUGAGGAAUAUUGGUCAAUGGGCGCGAGCCUGAACCAGCCAAGUAUCGUGAAGGAUGACUGCCCUACGGGUUGUAAACUACUUUUAUAAAGGAAUAAAGUGAGGCACGUGUGCCUUUUUGUAUGUACUUUAUGAAUAAGGAUCGGCUAACUCCGUGCCAGCAGCCGCGGUAAUACGGAGGAUCCGAGCGUUAUCCGGAUUUAUUGGGUUUAAAGGGUGCGUAGAUGGGUUGUUAAGUCAGUUGUGAAAGUUUGCGGCUCAACCGUAAAAUUGCAAUUUGUACUGGUAGUCUUGAGUACAGUUGAGGUAGGCGGAAUUCGUGGUGUAGCGGUGAAAUGCUUAGAUAUCACGAAGAACUCCGAUUGCGAAGGCAGCUUACUAACCGGCCACUGACAUUGAUGCUCGAAAGUGUGGGUAUCAAACAGGAUAGAUACCCGUGUAGUC